rnacentral:rRNA from 1 species
AGAGUUUGAUUAUGGCUCAGGAUGAACGCUAGCGGCAGGCUUAACACAUGCAAGUCGAGGGGCAGCACGAGUAGCAAUACUUGGUGGCGACCGGCGCACGGGUGCGUAACGCGUAUGCAACCUACCCAUAACAGGGGGAUAACGUCGAGAAAUUGGCACUAAUAUCCCAUAACAUCAGAAUCGGCAUCGAUUUUGGUUAAAAACUCCGGUGGUUAUGGAUGGGCAUGCGUUGUAUUAGUUUGUUGGUGAGGUAACGGCUCACCAAGACUACGAUACAUAGGGGGACUGAGAGGUUAACCCCCCACACUGGUACUGAGACACGGACCAGACUCCUACGGGAGGCAGCAGUGAGGAAUAUUGGUCAAUGGACGCAAGUCUGAACCAGCCAUGCCGCGUGCAGGAAGACGGCUCUAUGAGUUGUAAACUGCUUUUGUACUAGGGUAAACCUUCCUACGUGUAGGGAGCGGAAAGUAUAGUACGAAUAAGGAUCGGCUAACUCCGUGCCAGCAGCCGCGGUAAUACGGAGGAUCCAAGCGUUAUCCGGAUUUAUUGGGUUUAAAGGGUGCGUAGGCGGUUUUAUAAGUUAGAGGUGAAAUCCCGGUGCUUAACACCGGGCCUGCCUCUAAUACUGUAAGACUAGAGAAUAGUUGCGGUAGGCGGAAUGUAUGGUGUAGCGGUGAAAUGCUUAGAGAUCAUACAGAACACCGAUUGCGAAGGCAGCUUACCAAGCUAUUUCUGACGUUGAGGCACGAAAGCGUGGGUAGCAAACAGGAUUAGAUACCCUGGUAGUCCACGCAGUAAACGAUGAUAACUCGUUGUCGGCGAUACACAGCCGGUGACCAAGCGAAAGCGAUAAGUUA